rnacentral:rRNA from 1 species
GACGAACGCUGGCGGCGUGCUUAACACAUGCAAGUCGAACGGAAAGGCCCCUUUGGGGGUACUCGAGUGGCGAACGGGUGAGUAACACGUGAGUAACCUGCCCUUGACUUCGGGAUAACUUCAGGAAACUGGGGCUAAUACCGGAUAGGAAUCCUUGCUGCAUGGUGGGGGUUGGAAAGCUUCGGCGGUUUUGGAUGGACUCGCGGCUUAUCAGCUUGUUGGUGGGGUAGUGGCUUACCAAGGCUUUGACGGGUAGCCGGCCUGGGGGGGCGACCGGCCACAUUGGGACUGGGAUACGGCCCAGACUCCUACGGGGGGCAGCAGGGGGGAAAAUUGCACAAUUGGCGGAAGCCUGAUGCAGCAACGCCGCGUGCGGGAUGACGGCCUUCGGGUUGUAAACCGCUUUCAGCAGGGGCGAAGCUUGUGGUGACGGUACCUGCAGAAGAAGCACCGGCUAACUACGUG